AGUGUGGACGCCAGUCUGCAUGGAGCCGACCUUGAAAUACCACCCUUUAAUGUUUGAUGUUCUAACGUGGACCCGUAAUCCGGGUUGCGGACAGUGUCUGGUGGGUAGUUUGACUGGGGCGGUCUCCUCCUAAAGAGUAACGGAGGAGCACGAAGGUUGGCUAAUCCUGGUCGGACAUCAGGAGGUUAGUGCAAUGGCAUAAGCCAGCUUGACUGCGAGCGUGACGGCGCGAGCAGGUGCGAAAGCAGGUCAUAGUGAUCCGGUGGUUCUGAAUGGAAGGGCCAUCGCUCAACGGAUAAAAGGUACUCCGGGGAUAACAGGCUGAUACCGCCCAAGAGUUCAUAUCGACGGCGGUGUUUGGCACCUCGAUGUCGGCUCAUCACAUCCUGGGGCUGAAGUAGGUCCCAAGGGUAUGGCUGUUCGCCAUUUAAAGUGGUACGCGAGCUGGGUUUAGAACGUCGUGAGACAGUUCGGUCCCUAUCUGCCGUGGGCGCUGGAGAACUGAGGGGGGCUGCUCCUAGUACGAGAGGACCGGAGUGGACGCAUCACUGGUGUUCGGGUUGUCAUGCCAAUGGCACUGCCCGGUAGCUAAAUGCGGAAGAGAUAAGUGCUGAAAGCAUCUAAGCACGAAACUUGCCCCGAGAUGAGUUCUCCCUGACUCCUUGAGAGUCCUGAAGGAACGUUGAAGACGACGACGUUGAUAGGCCGGGUGUGUAAGCGCAGCGAUGCGUUGAGCUAACCGGUACUAAUGAACCGUGAGGCUUAACCUUACAACGCCGAAG
rnacentral:rRNA from 1 species